UACGUAGCAGCAAGCGUUGUUCGGAAUUACUGGGCGUAAAGAGUGUGUAGGCGGUGCUCUAAGUUCGGUGUGAAAUCUCCCGCUUAACUGGGAGGGUGCGCCGGAAACUGGAGUGCUUGAGCGCGGGAGAGGAAAGCGGAAUUCCUGGUGUAGCGGUGAAAUGCGUAGAUAUCAGGAGGAACACCUGUGGUGUAGACGGCUUUCUGGACCGUAGCUGACGCUGAGACACGAAAGCGUGGGUAGCAAACAGG
rnacentral:rRNA from 1 species